AGUGAACGCUGGCGGUAGGCCUAACACAUGCAAGUCGAACGGCAGCACGGUAAGAGCUUGCUCUUACGGGUGGCGAGUGGCGGACGGGUGAGGAAUACAUCGGAAUCUACUUUUUCGUGGGGGAUAACGUAGGGAAACUUACGCUAAUACCGCAUACGACCUACGGGUGAAAGCAGGGGAUCUUCGGACCUUGCGCGAUUGAAUGAACCGAUGUCGGAUUAGCUAGUUGGCGGGGUAAAGGCCCACCAAGGCGACGAUCCGUAGCUGGUCUGAGAGGAUGAUCAGCCACACUGGAACUGAGACACGGUCCAGACUCCUACGGGAGGCAGCAGUGGGGAAUAUUGGACAAUGGGCGCAAGCCUGAUCCAGCCAUACCGCGUGGGUGAAGAAGGCCUUCGGGUUGUAAAGCCCUUUUGUUGGGAAAGAAAAGCAGCAGGUUAAUACCCCGCUGUUCUGACGGUACCCAAAGAAUAAGCACCGGCUAACUUCGUG
rnacentral:rRNA from 1 species